rnacentral:tRNA from 1 species
GUUAUAAUAAUUUAAUUAAAAUAUUGGUUUUGUAAACCAAAUUUGAUUUUCAUCUUAUAAUA